GCUAAGUAGUGAUAUGGAGCGAAACCCAAAAAGCACCCCCAGUUCGGAUUGAAGGCUGAAAUUCGCCUUCAUGAAGCCGGAAUUGCUAGUAAUGGCAGGUCAGCAUACUGCCGUGAAUACGUUCCCGGGCCUUGUACACACCGCCCGUCACACCAUGAGAGUUGGGGAUACCCGAAGCCUGUGAGCCAACUAUAUAGAGGCAGCAGUCGAAGGUAGAAUCAAUGAUUGGGGUGAAGUCGUAACAAGGUAUC
rnacentral:rRNA from 1 species